AACGUAGGUUCCGAGCGUUAUCCGGAUUUACUGGGCGUAAAGCGCGUUCAGGCGGUUUGGCAAGUCGGGCAUGAAAUCUCUCGGCUCAACCGGGAGAGGUUGUCCGAUACUUCCAGACUUGAGGGCAGUAGAGGGUGGUGGAAUUCCGGGUGUAGUGGUGAAAUGCGUAGAUAUCUGGAGGAACACCGGUGGCGAAGGCGGCAUCCUGGACCGAGAUUGACGCUGAGGCGCGAAAGCCAGGGGAGCAAACGGG
rnacentral:rRNA from 1 species